AUUUUUUCCCCUCCCCCUUUCUAAUUUCCAUCUCUCGAAUUCCUCCAUCACCGCUAUCUUACCUAACCUAUUCGCCUUUUUUCCCCCAUCUCGCCGAAAAAAUGUCGAUGGCGCGUCAAAAGACCGUUCUCCACGAGGUAACCGGAUGUCAAACAUUUUUGCCGAGGCUGGAGGGCAGCUCGGUAUUCAGGUCUCGGUACGUAUCCGAGAAUAACACAUACAGAGACGUGUGGCGCACGCGCGCAACAAUAUUCGCUCGGUAGCCUAGAUUCCCUGAGAUACUUUCUAUUGUGUUUACGGAUCGGAUUAGAGUACCUUUCGCCGUUGAGAAAAUCCUCAACUACUCGAGACGCGGAAGACUACCAACGCUCAACCGGUGACCUUUUGGGAAUCCGGAUCAAAUUGGGAAAUCGGGUUAACCCUCCUUUGAUGGGACACCCGCUAGAAGAUCUAACUCGAGAUACCGAGAACGACGAGCACGAGAAACGUGACUGUCGUUCGUUAAUUAUCCUUUACGUGCAUACGUUUAGGUAAUAUCGAAUCGAAAGUUUCUUGCAAGUGUCGAAACUGGAACAGUUAUUUCAAAUAAAUUAGAUUAGGUUAGAACGUACAUAUGAAUUACAUAGAAGUAAUAAACGGAUUAAUACCAUUGAGAUUGAUAGUUUGGUUUCUAUAAAAUUGAAUAUUAAUCGUACACUUUGACAAUUUGAUUGAAAAAAUAAGAAUUUUUAAAAAAGAUAGAGUCGAACACUUCUGCUUUCAAAUUGUUUACCGAUGGGACGCUAAACCCGAAUGACUGGGAAUGCUGAAACUAGAGCCGAUCGUAUUUCGGCUAUUUUCGACUAAGAUCGGAAAAUUAGCCGAGGAUGCCCGAAAGACGUUCGGCUCUUCAGUCGGGAUUCUUGGUUGUCUCAUCGAUCCAAGUCGAUCAAUUUUCUGUAAUUUUCAACCAUAAUUGACCAAUAUUCGCCGAAAGUAACCGAAAGACGAUUACCUCACGGCUCGAGAUUCUUAACUGAUUCGAAAGUUUCAUCGAUGUUAUGGAAUUGAAAUACAUCGAGUUGUAGGCGUGCAUCACACCGAAGAAGUUGAAGAAUGGAAGAAACUGGAAAUGAAUGAGGAGAUUUGCGAAAGAACGAUGUACGAAUGGAUGUUUAAUUGGUUAAAGGCUACGUGUGUGAAUGUGUGUGUAAUGAUAUUUGGUUACCUUUUAAUUUUUUUUUAACUCGAUCUUGUCAAGAACAGAUACGUUAAAAUCGAUGUAGAAUAUCGAAUAUAAUAUAUGGAAAGGAAUUAAUUCAAAAAUACGAUGAUGAUAUUACUUUCA